CCUACGGGAGGCAGCAGUGAGGAAUAUUGGUCAAUGGACGCAAGUCUGAACCAGCCAUGCCGCGUGCAGGAAGACGGCUCUAUGAGUUGUAAACUGCUUUUGUACGAGGGUAAAUCCCGAUACGUGUAUCGUGUUGAAAGUAUCGUACGAAUAAGGAUCGGCUAACUCCGUGCCAGCAGCCGCGGUAAUACGGAGGAUUCAAGCGUUAGCCGGAUUUAUUGGGUUUAAAGGGUGCGUAGGCGGGUCGAUAAGUUAGGGGUGAAAUCCCGGGGCUCAACUCCGGCACUGCCUCUGAUACUGUCGGGCUAGAGUUUAGUUGCGGUAGGCGGAAUGUAUGGUGUAGCGGUGAAAUGCAUAGAGAUCAUACAGAACACCGAUUGCGAAGGCAGCUUACCAAACUACGACUGACGUUGAGGCACGAAAGCGUGGGGAGCAAACAGGAUUAGAUACCCUUGUAGUC
rnacentral:rRNA from 1 species